UACGUAGGGGGCAAGCGUUGUUCGGAAUUACUGGGCGUAAAGGGCGCGUAGGCGGCAUGGCAAGUCAGGAGUGAAAGGCCUGGGCUCAACCGAGGAACUGCUUUUGAGACUGCCAAGCUAGAGUGCGGAAGGGGCAACUGGAAUUCCCAGUGUAGCGGUGAAAUGCGUAGAUAUUGGGAAGAACACCUGAGGCGAAGGCGGGUUGCUGGGCCGACACUGACGCUGAGGCGCGAAAGCCAGGGGAGCAAACGGG
rnacentral:rRNA from 1 species